rnacentral:rRNA from 1 species
CACGUAGGAGACAAGCGUUAUCCGGAUUUACUGGGUGUAAAGCGCGUGCAGGCGGUCGGGUAAGUUGGAUGUGAAAGCUCCUGGCUUAACUGGGAGAGGUCGUUCAAUACUGUCCGGCUCGAGGAUGGCAGAGGGGAGUGGAAUUCCGAGUGUAGCGGUAAAAUGCAUAGAUAUUCGGAAGAACACCAGUGGCGAAGGCGGCUCUCUGGGCCAUUUCUGACGCUCAGACGCGAAAGCUAGGGUAGCAAAC